UACGUAGGCAGCGAGCGUUGUUCGGAAUUACUGGGCGUAAAGAGUGUGUAGGCGGUGCUCUAAGUUCGGUGUGAAAUCUCCUGGCUCAACUGGGAGGGUGCGCCGGAAACUGGAGUGCUUGAGCGUGGGAGAGGAAAGCGGAAUUCCUGGUGUAGCGGUGAGAUGCGUAGAUAUCAGGAGGUACACCUGUGGUGUAGACGGCCUUCUGGACCAUAGCUGACGCUGAGACACGAAAGCGUGGGUAGCAAACAGG
rnacentral:rRNA from 1 species